rnacentral:rRNA from 1 species
CCUACGGGGGGCAGCAGUGAGGAAUAUUGGUCAAUGGCCGGAAGGCUGAACCAGCCAUGCCGCGUGAAGGUCAGUGCCCUAUGGGCGUUAAACUUCUUUUGUGCGGGAGCAAUAAUGGUCACGUGUGGCCAGACGAGAGUACCGUACGAAUAAGCAUCGGCUAACUCCGUGCCAGCAGCCGCGGUAAUAAGGGGGAUGCAAGCGUUAUCCGGAUUUAUUGGGUUUAAAGGGUGUGCAGCCGGGAAGACAAGUCAGAUGUGAAAUCCCGCGGCUCAACCGCGGACCUGCAUUUGAAACUGUUCUUCUUGAGUACCGGAGAGGUCAUCGGAAUUCCAUGUGUAGCGGUGAAAUGCGUAGAUAUAAGGAAGAACACCAGUGGCGAAGGCGGAUGCCUGGACGGCAACUGACGGUGAGGCGCGAAAGCGUGGGGAGCAAACAGGAUUAGAUACCCUUGUAGUC